UCCUUACGGGAGGCAGCAGUGGGGAAUAUUGGGCAAUGGAGGCAACUCUGACCCAGCAACGCCGCGUGAGUGAUGAAGGUCUUCGGAUUGUAAAACUCUUUAAGUGGGGACGAAGAAAGUGACUGUACCCACAGAAUAAGCCUCGGCUAACUACGUGCCAGCAGCCGCGGUAAUACGUAGGAGGCAAGCGUUAUCCGGAAUGACUGGGCGUAAAGGGUGCGUAGGUGGUUUGACAAGUUAGUAGCGUAAUUCCGGGGCUCAACUUCGGAACUACUACUAAAACUGUUGGGCUUGAGUGCAGGAGG
rnacentral:rRNA from 1 species